rnacentral:rRNA from 1 species
CUUUCCCUCUUUCUUUAGGCCUAACACAUGCAAGUCGAACGGCAGCACAGUAAGAGCUUGCUCUUACGGGUGGCGAGUGGCGGACGGGUGAGGAAUACAUCGGAAUCUACUUUUUCGUGGGGGAUAACGUAGGGAAACUUACGCUAAUACCGCAUACGACCUACGGGUGAAAGCAGGGGAUCUUCGGACCUUGCGCGAUUGAAUGAGCCGAUGUCGGAUUAGCUAGUUGGCGGGGUAAAGGCCCACCAAGGCGACGAUCCGUAGCUGGUCUGAGAGGAUGAUCAGCCACACUGGAACUGAGACACGGUCCAGACUCCUACGGGAGGCAGCAGUGGGGAAUAUUGGACAAUGGGCGCAAGCCUGAUCCAGCCAUACCGCGUGGGUGAAGAAGGCCUUCGGGUUGUAAAGCCCUUUUGUUGGGAAAGAAAAGCAGCAGGUUAAUACCCCGCUGUUCUGACGGUACCCAAAGAAUAAGCACCGGCUAACUUCGUG